rnacentral:rRNA from 1 species
UAUAACUCCUGCUGCUCCACCGACCCUCGAAGCCUUCGAGGUGGCAACCAGCGUCGCGAAGCUGAGAAGCCGGCGAUCGCCGGGAAUGGACGGCAUCACGGGUGGGAUCGUCAAGGAGGUAUGGCGUGCUAUCCCUCAGCACCUGACGAAGUUGUACUCUCGAUGCCUCUCGGAAGGAUAUUUUCCUGCCGAGUGGAAACACCCGAGAGUGAUACCGCUGGUAAAGGGGCCAGAUAAGGACAGGAGCGAUCCUGCCUCUUAUCGUGGCAUAUGCCUUUUGCCAGUGUUCGGAAAGGUGCUGGAAGGGAUCAUGGUGAAUCGACUGAAGGAUGUGCUACCGGAUGGCUGCAGAUGGCAAUUUGGAUUUCGGCCUGGACGCUGCGUUGAGGAUGCGUGGAUGCACGCUAAAAACACCGUUUCCACCAGCCGCGAGAGGAGGGUGCUGGGAAUCUUUGUUGAUUUCAAGGGUGCCUUCGACAAUGUUGAGUGGAACGCGGUGCUGGAUCGGCUUAUCGACGUCGGCUGUCGAGAGAUAGACUUGUGGAAAAGUUAUUUCUCCGGUCGAAGUGCCAGUAUCAUCAGCAGUUACGAAGCGGCCACAGUGUCGGUUACACGGGGCUGCCCGCAAGGGUCCGUCAGUGGUCCAUUUAUUUGGAACCUACUGAUGGAUGUGCUGCUUCAGCGCCUGGAGCCACAUUGUGCUCUGAGCGCGUUUGCAGAUGACUUGCUACUUUUCGUCGAUGGGAAUUCCCGUGCCGAUCUGGAGCGAAAGGGCGAGCAGUUGAUGGACAUCGUGGGAGCCUGGGGAGCUGAGGUUGGAGUGAGUGUGUCAACCAGCAAGACGGCAAUCAUGUUGCUGAAAGGGAAUCUUUCAGACACUAGGAGACCGACGGUACGGUUUGCUGGAGCAAGCCUGCCAUACGUCACCAAAUGCCGGUACCUUGGCAUCUUAGUCGGCGAGCGGAUGAGCUUUCUCCCGCAUAUCUCUGCUCUCAGAGAUCGGCUGGCUGGAGUUGCCGGAGGGCUAGCACGGGUGCUCCGAGUCGAUUGGGGGCUCAGCUCCCGUGCUAAGAGGACGAUAUACAGCGGACUCAUGGUCCCCUGUGCACUCUUCGGUGCCUCGGUCUGGUACAAGGCGGCGAGCAAGGGCAAGUCCUUAAGACUCCUCACCUCGUGCCAGAGGACCAUCCUAUUAGGAUGCCUACCGGUAUGCCGCACAGUGUCCACGGUGGCACUGCAGGUGCUUGCUGGUGCUCCUCCAAUGGAUUUAGAUGCUCACAGGAUGGCAGUGAAGUUUAAGCUCAGAAAGCACGUUCCCCUGGACGAGAGCGACUGGCUCUAUGGACAGGACUUGUCUGUGUUGGACUGGAAAUCCAAGAUGGCUCUGCUAGACGAAUGUCUGCUAAAUGAGUGGCAACUCAGAUGGGACCAAGCGGCUCACGGUUUUGUGACUCGCCAGUUUUUCCCAGAGGCAGCGUUCGUCUACAAGAGGAAGGACUUUGUCUUCACCUUAAGAGCCGGAUUCUUGCUGACAGGACACGGGUCGUUCAACGCUUUCCUCCAUGGUAGAACCCUCAGCACCACAACCGCAUGCUCAUGUGGAGAGGAGAGUGAGGACUGGCUUCACGUACUAUGUGAGUGCCGCCUCUAUAGCGAUUUGCGUGACUUGGAUGCCCUUGGCAUUGUUCGAGUCCAAGAACGAUGGAACGUCGCAGGAGUAGUCGAGACCCCAGAACGGAUGCGUCUCCUAGGAGCUUUUGCUGAUGCUGCCUUCUCGAGGCGUAGGAUGGAAGCGACGAGGGAUGAACCGCAGGCGCCGGGACAAUAGUCCCAAAACCCCCUUGCCGUGUGGCAACGGCGAAGAAUACUGCCACAGCUUGUCAUUGCUUGUCGUAGGAGGCGACUAAUAUGACAUGGUUGCCCCAUCCGAGCUUGUCGGAGCUGAAGGGGUGAGGCCCACCGAGCCUGAAAUUUCGGUGCCACGGGUUGAGUGGUUCUCCAAGGCUACUCAUUGAGGUCGGCCCCCUAGUGGGAGUUUCGUGGUGGCUGUGGUUGACACCUAUAUCGCGGGUAGAGUCCCCGGGCUCGACGUGGAUGUUGCGUUAAUACAACUCGGGUGCUGCGACCCAAAGAACAGUAGAGAUUUUAGAUAGAUCUCGCCCCUAUGCAAGGGGGAGUGCUUGCCCGACAAGCAAGUACUUAAAUUGCUACUGGGGUGGUUGCUAUGUACAUAGCUAUAGCUUCUAGUCCAGGGCGUUGGUUUGGCGCUUAACCCAGACCCUUGCAUUAUAUACUCCCUUGUGGGUAUAUUAGAAUGCCGUGGCUGUAAUCCCUUCAGUGCGGAACACGUCACGUUAAAUAAGUUCGGAGGGAUCCGAGACACACCUGUCCCUAUCUACUAUCUAGCGAAACCACAGCCAAGGGAACGGGCUUGGAAUAAUUAGCGGGGAAAGAAGACCCUUUUGAGCUUGACUCUAAUCUGGCAGUGUAAGGAGACAUAAGAGGUGUAGAAUAAGUGGGAGAUAUUAGACCUCGGUUUGGUAUCGCCAAUGAAAUACCACUACUCUUAUUGUUUCCUUACUUACUUGAUUAAAUGGAACGUGUAUCAUUUCCUAGCCAUUAUACGGAUAUAUUUAUUAUAUCUUAUGGUAUUGGGUUUUGAUGCAAGCUUCUUGAUCAAAGUAUCACGAGUUUGUUAUAUAAUCGCAAACAAAUUCUUUAAUAAAACGGUGCAUUUAUGUAUUUUUGAUUUGAAAAUUUGGUAUAACUCCAAUUACUCAGGUAUGAUCCAAUUCAAGGACAUUGCCAGGUAGGGAGUUUGACUGGGGCGGUACAUCUCUCAAAUAAUAACGGAGGUGUCCCAAGGCCAGCUCAGUGCGGACAGAAACCACACAUAGAGCAAAAGGGCAAAUGCUGACUUGAUCUCGGUGUUCAGUACACACAGGGACAGCAAAAGCUCGGCCUAUCGAUCCUUUUGGUUUAAAGAGUUUUUAACAAGAGGUGUCAGAAAAGUUACCAUAGGGAUAACUGGCUUGUGGCGGCCAAGCGUUCAUAGCGACGUCGCUUUUUGAUCCUUCGAUGUCGGCUCUUCCUAUCAUUGUGAAGCAAAAUUCACCAAGCGUUGGAUUGUUCACCCAUGCAAGGGAACGUGAGCUGGGUUUAGACCGUCGUGAGACAGGUUAGUUUUACCCUACUAAUGACAAAACGUUGUUGCGACAGCAUUCCUGCGUAGUACGAGAGGAACCGCAGGUACGGACCAAUGGCACAAUACUUGUUCGAGCGAACAGUGGUAUGACGCUACGUCCGUUGGAUUAUGCCUGAACGCCUCUAAGGUCGUAUCCGUGCUGGACUGCAAUGAUAAAUAAGGGGCAAUUUGCAUUGUAUGGCUUCUAAACCAUUUAAAGUUUAUAAUUUACUUUUUAAACGACAAUGGAUGUGAUGCCAAUGUAAUUUGUAACAUAGUAAAUUGGGAGGAUCUUUGAUCACCUGAUGCCGCGCUAGUUACAUAUAAAAGCAUUAUUU